rnacentral:miRNA from 1 species
GAAUGAAUGGCAGGGCAAUUCUCCUUUGGCAAAGCAGAAAGCAUGUGUGAUAUAUUUUAUGUGCAUGCAAUGUAAUGUUUCUCCUUGCCAUAGGAGGGCAGCACUGUAUUUCAACA